UACGAAGGGGGCUAGCGUUGCUCGGAAUUACUGGGCGUAAAGGGCGCGUAGGCGGACAGUUAAGUCAGAGGUGAAAGCCCAGGGCUCAACCCUGGAAUUGCCUUUGAUACUGGCUGUCUUGAGUACGGGAGAGGUGAGUGGAACUCCGAGUGUAGAGGUGAAGUUCGUAGAUAUUCGGCGGAACACCAGUGGCGAAGGCGACUCACUGGCCCGAUACUGACGCUGAGGCGCGAAAGCGUGGGGAGCAAACAGG
rnacentral:rRNA from 1 species